CNACCUGCCGAUAACUCAGGGAUAGCCUUUCGAAAGAAAGAUUAAUACCUGAUGGCAUAGGAUUNNNNCAUGAUAAUCCUAUUAAAGAAUUUCGGUUAUCGAUGGGGAUGCGUUCCAUUAGGCAGUUGGUGAGGUAACGGCUCACCAAACCUUCGAUGGAUAGGGGUUCUGAGAGGAAGGUCCCCCACAUUGGAACUGAGACACGGUCCAAACUCCUACGGGAGGCAGCAGUGAGGAAUAUUGGUCAAUGGACGGGAGUCUGAACCAGCCAAGUAGCGUGAAGGAUGACUGCCCUAUGGGUUGUAAACUUCUUUUAUACGGGAAUAAAAUGAUCCACGUGUGGAUUUUUGUAUGUACCGUGUGAAUAAGGAUCGGCUAACUCCGUGCCAGCAGCCGCGGUAAUACGGAGGAUCCAAGCGUUAUCCGGAUUUAUUGGGUUUAAAGGGAGCGUAGGUUGACAUAUAAGUCAGCUGUGAAAGUUUACGGCUCAACCGUGAAAUUGCAGUUGAUACUGUAUGUCUUGAGUGUACAAGAGGUGGGCGGAAUUCGUGGUGUAGCGGUGAAAUGCUUAGAUAUCACGAAGAACUCCGAUUG
rnacentral:rRNA from 1 species